AUUUUGCCACCAGGUGGUUUGGUAUUCCUACUGUUUCUGUUAUUGUGUUGUCUGCUGCAAAGCAACGCGUGGAAAACUCAAAAUGUCGGUUUCGCUGGAAUCUGUAUAGGUAGUUAUUCCCCUAAUAGGAAGAUAAAUUUAAAAUGAUUGCUACCAGUCCACUCGCAGAAUGUUUGGUGUAACUACUCAAAUAAUUCCUUACAGACUUACAUUUAAUCUAGCAGAAUAAAUGCAGCAGUAGGUUAACUGAUACGUCCAGUUAUAAACCAAUGUCUAAGCGGAUUAAAUGAUGUUACGUUGAAAUUGUCAGGCGUUUAUCAUUAUUUGCUAGAAUCCAUAAAGGUAGUGCUUAACUGGACAUUGAUGGCAGGCAUU